rnacentral:rRNA from 1 species
GAUGAACGCUAGCGGCAGGCCUAACACAUGCAAGUCGAGGGGUAGAGGCUGCUUGCAACCUUGAGACCGGCGCACGGGUGCGUAACGCGUAUGCAAUCUGCCUUGUACUGAGGGAUAGCCCAGAGAAAUUUGGAUUAAUACCUCAUAGUAUCUUUUCCCGGCAUCGGGAGAUUAUUAAAGUUCCAACGGUACAAGAUGAGCAUGCGUCCCAUUAGCUAGUUGGUAUGGUAACGGCAUACCAAGGCAAUGAUGGGUAGGGGUCCUGAGAGGGAGAUCCCCCACACUGGUACUGAGACACGGACCAGACUCCUACGGGAGGCAGCAGUGAGGAAUAUUGGUCAAUGGGCGCAAGCCCGAACCCGCCAUGCCGCGUGCAGGAUGAAGCAUCUAUGGUGUGUAAACUGCUUUUAUACGGGAAGAAACACCGGUUCGUGAACCGGCUUGACGGUACCGUAAGAAUAAGGAUCGGCUAACUCCGUGCCAGCAGCCGCCGUAA